CGAAACACAUCUGCCGCGCCUCCCACGCCCUCGCCUGUUGCAACUCGCGGAUCUAGUAGUCCGACUUGCGACGCUUCCUCCCUGCACGUGUGGAUACCUUGGAGGUGUUGCGCUUGCAGCACUUGGACGAGCUGCCGACGAGCCACGACGAGACGACAACGAGCCGCGGCACGAAGAUGAUCUUGCUGCACGUGGACGAGCUGCUGAGGAGCUGCUCAAUAUCAACAUGAUCGACUAUGUUCGACUACGCUGAUCGACUUCGCUGCCCCGACGCGAUUCUACAUCUUCCGCACCAGUGCGUCGAGUGGUA
rnacentral:lncRNA from 1 species